GCUGACCAGACAGUCGCCGCUUUGUUGCCGUCCUCUUCGGGGAGACAGACAGAGGGGAGGAAAGUCCGGGCUCCACAGGGCAGGGUGCCAGGUAACGCCUGGGGGGCGCAAGCCCACGACCAGUGCAACAGAGAGCAAACCGCCGAUGGCCCACUGGGGGGAUCAGGUAAGGGUGAAAGGGUGCGGUAAGAGCGCACCGCGCGUCUGGUAACAGUUCGCGGCACGGUAAACUCCACCCGGAGCAAGGCCAAAUAGGGGUUCAACAGGUACGGCCCGUACUGAACCCGGGUAGGCUGCUUGAGCCAGUGAGCGAUUGCUGGCCUAGAUGAAUGACUGUCCACGACAGAACCCGGCUUACCGGUCAGCUUC
rnacentral:RNase_P_RNA from 1 species